UAUCCGGAAUGAUUGGGCGUAAAGGGUGCGUAGGUGGCACGUUAAGUCUGGAGUAAAAGGGAGCGGCUCAACCGCUGUUGGCUCUGGAAACUGGCGAGCUAGAGUGCAGGAGAGGGCGAUGGAAUUCCAUGUGUAGCGGUAAAAUGCGUAGAUAUAUGGAGGAACACCGGUGGCGAAGGCGGUCGCCUGGCCUGCAACUGACACUGAAGCACGAAAGCGUGGGGAGCAAAUAGGAUUAGAUACCCUAGUAGUCCACGCCGUAAACGAUGAGAACUAAGUGUUGGGGAGACUCAGUGCUGCAGUUAACGCAAUAAGUUCUCCGCCUGGGGAGUAUGCACGCAAGUGUGAAACUCAAAGGAAUUGACGGGGGCCCGCACAAGCGGUGGAGUAUGUGGUUUAAUUCGAAGCAACGCGAAGAACCUUACCAGGUCUUGACAUCCCUUGCGAAGUCAUGGAGACAUGAUGGAGGUUAUCAAGGAGACAGGUGGUGCAUGGUUGUC
rnacentral:rRNA from 1 species